rnacentral:rRNA from 1 species
CAGCCGCCGCGGUAAUACGGAGGGGGCAAGCGUUAUCCGGAAUUAUUGGGCGUAAAGGGUACGUAGGUGGCCUUUUAAGCGUAGGGUAUAAGGCAAUGGCUCAACCAUUGUUCGCCCUAUGAACUGGAAGGCUUGAGUGCAGGAGAGGAAAGCGGAAUUCCUAGUGUAGCGGUGGAAUGCAUAGAUAUUGGGAGGAACAUCAGCGGCGAAGGCGGCUUUCUGGACUGCAACUGACACUGAGGUACGAAAGCGUGGGGAGCAAACAGGAUUAGAUACCCCCGUAGUCCCUGUCUCUUAUACA